GGAAACUGGUGCUAAUACCGCAUGACAUCGCCGGGCCUUCGGGCCUGACGAUCAAAGCGAAAAAGCCGCAAGGCCUGGCGCUUGGAGAGGAGCCCGCGUCCGAUUAGCUAGUUGGUGGGGUAACGGCCCACCAAGGCAACGAUCGGUAGCCGGCCUGAGAGGGCGGACGGCCACACUGGGACUGAGACACGGCCCAGACUCCUACGGGAGGCAGCAGUGGGGAAUUUUUCGCAAUGGGCGAGAGCCUGACGAAGCAACGCCGCGUGGAGGAUGAAGGCCUUCUGUGUCGUAAACUCCUGUCGACCGGGACGAAAGUAGUCUGACCUAAUACGUCGGGCUGUUGACUGUACCGGU
rnacentral:rRNA from 1 species